AGCGAACGCUGGCGGCAGGCCUAACACAUGCAAGUCGAACGAACCCUUCGGGGUUAGUGGCGGACGGGUGAGUAACACGUGGGAACGUGCCUUUAGGUUCGGAAUAACUCAGGGAAACUUGUGCUAAUACCGAAUGUGCCCUUAGGGGGAAAGAUUUAUCGCCUUUAGAGCGGCCCGCGUCUGAUUAGCUAGUUGGUGAGGUAAUGGCUCACCAAGGCUACGAUCAGUAGCUGGUCUGAGAGGAUGACCAGCCACAUUGGGACUGAGACACGGCCCAAACUCCUACGGGAGGCAGCAGUGGGGAAUCUUGCGCAAUGGGCGAAAGCCUGACGCAGCCACGCCGCGUGGAUGAUGAAGGUCUUAGGAUUGUAAAAUCCUUUCACCGGUGAAGAUAAUGACUGUAGCCGGAGAAGAAGCCCCGGCUAACUUCGUGCCAGCCGCCGCGGUAAAAC
rnacentral:rRNA from 1 species